GGAGGGAUGCCCGAGUGGUUAAAGGGGACGGGCUGUAAACCCGUUGGCUAUGCCUACGUUGGUUCAAAUCCAACUCCCUCCACCA
rnacentral:tRNA from 3 species